ACCCUGCUGGAGUGCGGGGGAGACCUCCAGCCCCCCGGAGGGUCCCUGCGCCUCCUCUGCCGAGGGUCCGGGUUUGAUUUCGGGAGUUUUGGCAUGCACUGGGUGCGCCAGAGACCCGGGCAGGGGCUGGAAUACAUCGCCAGGAUCUACAACCCUGGUGGCACCACCUACUACAAUCCAUCGGUCAAGGGCCGGUUCACGAUCUCCAGGGACAACGGGCAGAGCUCGGUGACGCUGACCAUGAACAACCUCAAGGAUGAGGAUUCCGCCACCUAUUUCUGUGCCAAGAGUGCUGGUGCUGCCGUGACCCUGCUGGAGUGCCGGGCGCACCUCCAGGCCCCCGGGGGGUCCCUGUGCCUCCUCUGCUGA